UGUAUUCAAUGAGUAUUUAGCCUUGGCCGAUAGGCCCGGGUAAUCUUGGGAAAUUUCAUCGUGAUGGGGAUAGAUCAUUGCAAUUGUUGGUCUUCAACGCGGAAUGCCUAGUAAGCGCGAGUCAUCAGCUCGCGUUGACUACGUCCCUGCCCUUUGUACACACCGCCCGUCGCUCCUACCGAUUGAAUGGUCCGGUGAAGUGUUCGGAUCGCGGCGACGGGGGCGG
rfam:Hordeum vulgare subsp. vulgare, WGS project CAJW01000000 data, contig: morex_contig_1082284